rnacentral:lncRNA from 1 species
AUGAAUGUUGGAUGAUCCAUAGCCCUCGAUCUAUGAUAUGACGAUAUGAUAUGUACGGUACGGAAAGUAAGACCAGUGGGACCCAUUCUACGUUCGCUGGCACUUUGUAAGGGAAAGACCAGGACCCAUUCUAUGUUCUGGCACAGUUGGACACUGUUAUGUUAUGAUAUGUAAGGGAAAGACCAGGACCCAUUCUACGUUCUGGCACAGUUGGACC